CCUACGGGGGGCAGCAGUGAGGAAUAUUGGUCAAUGGGCUUAUGCCUGAACCAGCCAAGUCGCGUGAGGGAAGACUGCCCUAUGGGUUGUAAACCUCUUUUGUCAGGGAGCAACGCCGGCUACGUGUAGCCGGACUGAGAGUACCUGAAGAAAAAGCAUCGGCUAACUCCGUGCCAGCAGCCGCGGUAAUACGGAGGAUGCGAGCGUUAUCCGGAUUGAUUGGGUUGAAAGGGUGCGUAGGCGGAAUGCCAAGUCAGCGGUAAAAUCGCGGGGCUCAACCUCGCUCCGCCGUUGAAACUGGCGUUCUUGAGUGGGCGAGAAGUAUGCGGAAUGCGUGGUGUAGCGGUGAAAUGCAUAGAUAUCACGCAGAACUCCGAUUGCGAAGGCAGCAUACCGGCGCCCAACUGACGCUGAAGCACGAAAGCGUGGGUAUCGAACAGGAUUAGAUACCCCUGUAGUC
rnacentral:rRNA from 1 species